rnacentral:lncRNA from 1 species
AAAUAUCAGCUGAUCAUUAAAACAGAUCAAACAAAGUUCUUAUAAAAUGUAAAAAAAAAAACGUUCGCGCAUAAAUGGAACUUCUCGUUGGAUAGAACGACAAACUAAAGAUUUACUCAACAUUAUCGUAGAAAAUGUAAAAGCUAAUCCGGAACAGUUCGAGAAACCAACUGCUCAAAAAUACUUUGAACAGCAUCAAAUGGGAUGUUAUGCGCACAAAAAUGAGGCACCUAAAAACAAGUUUUUCGUCCGCACUGAAAUGGAAGGGUCAAACAGGUGCAGGAUUGCUAGAAAGUGGAGAUGUAAAAAGCGUUGAAGUUUACAUUAAAAAAAUG